ACUUUCUUAGUAUCAAACAGUACACGUGACUUCCAAUCACAAAGUCUCAGUUAGACUCUGAGAGAAAGUA
rnacentral:tRNA from 1 species